GUGGGGAAUAUUGCACAAUGGGGGAAACCCUGAUGCAGCGACGCCGCGUGAGUGAAGAAGUAUUUCGGUAUGUAAAGCUCUAUCGGCAGGGAAGAUAAUGACGGUACCUGACUAAGAAGCCCCGGCUAACUACGUGCCAGCAGCCGCGGUAAUACGUAGGGGGCAAGCGUUAUCCGGAUUUACUGGGUGUAAAGGGUGCGUAGGUGGCAAGGCAAGUCAGAUGUGAAAGCCCGGGGCUCAACCCCGGUAUUGCAUUUGAAACUGUUUAGCUAGAGUGCAGGAGAGGUAAGUGGAAUUCCUAGUGUAGCGGUGAAAUGCGUAGAUAUUAGGAGGAACACCAGUGGCGAAGGCGGCUUACUGGACUGUAACUGACACUGAGGCACGAAAGCGUGGGGAGCAAACAGGAUUAGAAACCCUUGUAGUCC
rnacentral:rRNA from 1 species